GGCGCUGUGGCUUAGUUGGUUAAAGCGCCUGUCUAGUAAACAGGAGAUCCUGGGUUCGAAUCCCUGCUGGGGGCA